AUCCAAUUAUAAGUUCAUCUAUACAAAAUACAGAAUUAUUAUUUUCAAGCAAACAGAAUUUAUAAAUAACAAAAUAAUUUUUAGGUUAAACAAUUCCCUCACGUGUGACCCAAUCGAGUCGAAUAGAAGAUCCGAUAGCGUUUGUUCAACUGAAAACAAGGACCCGCGCGUUUCUCACGGGUCGGGUCAGGAAACGCCUUUGUCGGGUAGAUAAAUCUAGAUCCAUGUCCUUGCCGACUCUCUCUCUCUUUCAGGAUUUCGCCGGGAGCCGAUCUUUGAUUUUCACGCUGAUUAGAUUGCGUGCUGAAGUUAAUGAUGAAGACCCAGCACCAUCACCAAAAGAAACUGGGUUGUCGUAACGAUGAGAAGCUAGAUCUGUUGCCUACUGAUGUAGAGGUGAAGAUACUGAGUAGAUUGCCGUCAAAGCCAGAGAUUCGUCGAUUCCUUCUACGCUUUGUCCUCGACGCGAUCUCGUUUCACAGUCACUUUCUGUAACGCUAUAAUGGUCCCGGCCGACGCCAAGCGUUUGUUCAUCUAUUCAUCUUCCUUCGACGAAGAAGAGAACUCUUCAUCAUCUUUACUUGCCAAGCUAGAAAUGACAAUACCUUCUGUGGAAUUGAUCUACAGCUUCAAGUCACCUUCCGUCCACGGCUUUCUCGCUUGUUGUAGUGGCGAUCAGUUCUUUGUAUGUAACCCUACCACGAAGCAAGUCUUUACCAUACCCAUUAAAAAUUUAAAAUAGCCCGCGCUUCCUUGGGAUAUGAUCCUGUUGGUCGUCAAUUCAAAGCCUUGAACUUGGUGAUUCCUCCUGACCACUUUCCUGAAUUUCUUGUGCACGAGGUUAUAACAUUUCUAGGAGGAGGAAGAGUAUCACGCAACCAGGUAAUCAUUGUGGGUGUCGUUUCUCUACAUAGACGUAAAUUAAGCCAUUGCGGAUGUCGUUGGAUGAUUUGCGUUUGCUUUUUGAUGUGGAUUUGGAAAGAGGUGGUGGAUCUUGAUCUUGAAAACUAGGCUUGAUGUUUGCCUUAUUGAGUGAGGGGAAAUUAUAGGUUACAAAACCAAAAAAA